rnacentral:lncRNA from 1 species
GCCUCAUCUUGAAAUGAAAUUUUAGCUCAUCCUCUUAUAUCCUGAAGUGUUAUCAUUAGUUGUUGAUUCAUUAUUUACAUACCACAACAGCAACAAAAAACUUUGAUGUGUCCUAUUUCUCUAGUAAGCCCAGUAAAAUUAUAAGGGCUUAUUAUGGGAGAUAGGCUGGGACAGAGAAGGAAAGCCAGGAAGAAGAGACAGCAUGAGCAAAAGCAUGAAGAUCAGAAUUCAAAGAGGAUGCUGCUAAG